UACGGGGGGAGCAAGCGUUGUUCGGAUUUACUGGGCGUAAAGGGCGCGUAGGCGGCCACCGCAAGUCGAUUGUGAAAUCUCCGGGCUUAACCCGGAAAGGUCAACCGAUACUGCGGGGCUAGAGUGCAGAAGGGGCAACUGGAAUUCUCGGUGUAGCGGUGAAAUGCGUAGAUAUCGAGAGGAACACCUGCGGCGAAGGCGGGUUGCUGGGCUGACACUGACGCUGAGGCGCGAAAGCCAGGGGAGCGAACGGG
rnacentral:rRNA from 1 species